rnacentral:piRNA from 1 species
CCACACAGUUUACUAAGGAACCAUUUGUGGA